rnacentral:misc_RNA from 1 species
UGUAUAAAAAUGUUCUAUUGUAAAUUGGAUAGGCUUGCAUUAACAAAAAAAUGACUCUUGGUGGACAACAUAAUGGAAAUGUAUCGUACCUGACAAUGAAUCGAGAUAUCAACUUAGCACAAUCCAUUGAUAUACAACAACAGAACAAUCAACAACAAACACAUACAAUGGCAUUAGCUACAGCAAACGAGAAGAAUAGUGUUAUAAAUAAACAUGCAGCAGCUUCAGGAGCUGUAACAAUCCCUUCAAAACAGAGUAACAAAGAUCUUCCAACAUAUGUAGACCGGUCCAACAGUUCUCUCUUACUCGGCAUUAAUCGUUGGGGCGCAAAUGUAGUGAAUUCGUUGGUUCUCCGUGCACAUAUUUUGGAGAUAUAUGUGGAUGGGGUGCAGUGAUUUUUCACGGAUGGAUAUUUUUUUGGGAGUACUCCUUCUUCAGGCUGUAGUGUCAUUCCUGAAGAAGUGACAGCUAUCAAGGUUGCAGUAAUUUUAUUGAUCUAAAGUGGAGCGUUUUUGAGGGGCGGUAGAAUUCUAGUGACUCCUGUCACAAGCAUCGGCUAGUAUACCUAACCCAACAUAAUUAUUGAAAUGGAAAAAUAUUUGGUAACCGUCGUGUCAUCAGCUCCUACACCUGGAUGCAUUUUAUGGAGAUACAAUUGGCUUGCAAUAAAAUUGUUCGUAAGUUAAAGUAGGUAUGAUAGCUUAUCAUUUAUGUAUUAGUUUUGAUAAUAAUAGAGUAAAAGUGAACAAUAAUUGAGCGGAAGAAAAAUUUCACACUUAAUAUUAAAAAUCGUCGGUUAUAUUUUAUCCCUCCUGUCUCCUGUCUGUGUGGCACUUGCUGAAAACAAUAGAAAAUAUGGAAUCAGUCAGUUAUUUAAUCUUCCGUAUAUGAUGGUGGAUGGAUAUGGUGGGGGGCUUUCUAUGCUCCAAUUAUAAAAGCGCUGUCAAAUCUAAACUUUUGAAGUAAGAAAACCAAUCUGUUCCUACACAUCGUUUUGUUGACGACUAGAACACGCUAAACCAGAUGAAAAAACAAGCCAAAUGAUUUAAUGACUUCAUUGUUUUAUGACUUCAUUGAUAACGGUGAUCUCCGGUUAGCUUAGCGUUGUUUGCUGACUAUGAAAGUGUCUGAAAUCUAGACGAUGUACUACUGGUGGAUAAACAAUUUUGAAGAAAGCAGCAAAUAUGUUACUAACGUUCUAUAUAUUGUAAUCAUCGAGUCCAAACUUUUUAAUUUUUUUCUAAGGUAAGAUAGCUGGUGGAGGAUG